CUGCUGUGGCACCACAUUUACUAAAAUUGGAACAGUAUAGAGAUUGGCAUGGCCCCUGCACGAGAAUAACAGGAAAAUUCGUGAGGUGGUCCAUAUUUUU
ensembl:snRNA U6 U6 spliceosomal RNA